GGAGAGGUGACAGAGCGGCUGAAUGUACCGGUCUUGAAAACCGGCGUGGGUUUGUAGCCCACCGUGGGUUCAAAUCCCACCCUCUCCGCCA
rnacentral:tRNA from 1 species